AGGGCUAUCGCCAAGCGGUAAGGCAGCGGCUUUUGAUGCCGCCAUUCCCUAUUUCGAAUCCAGGUAGGUGUGCCA
rnacentral:tRNA from 1 species